GCAUGGCGUGUGACUCAUCGCACAGGGUUGGAUAGGAGAACGCUCGAUGUUGUACCUUUUAUAUAUUUUCAAUUUUGUUUAACUCCUUUUUCGGUGUUUGUAACAGCAUUACAUAUGCAUACAUGCGUCGAUCAUUGAAUGAUCAUUCAGAGCAGAACAGAAUAAAUCUCAAGAUGUGAAAUGGCCUGAAAAAAAUCUGAGAACCACUGCUUUUCGGUGCUACUUCGAUUCUUCCCGCGCGUGAUGUAGGUUAGGAGAUUCCGAAAAGCAGACGACAAUCAGCAAACGUGACUGUUCAGUCGCGCGCGUGCUUACGUAAUGCACAUAAAACACGUGUUUUCUCGUCGGCUUGCAUCAUCUGCAUUUGUUGCUCCGUUAUGAGCGAUAGAAGGAUAGACAUAACCCGAAACGUUUAAAAUUUGACAGUAAUUGCCAUUAUCGAUUAUCAUGACUGGACGAAAUUUUCUCCCCAAAAAGAUUUUGGCGCGUGAUACGAGUUAGCCGUCUGAUUAGACAUCACUUCUCUUCUUAUCAGCUCCAUGACGUUUCUUGAAACUUCGACGCUGCUAAUCGGACUGUUAAACGCCAAACGUUACACGAAAUGGAAAUGUUUCACAAGCAGGAGAAAUCUACGGGAAAUCCUUCGAGGAGAGACGUUCUGCUCACGUCGUUCAUCUCAGGUGCUUUCGCAGGGAUUGUUUGUGACGUGACACUCUUCCCACUAGAUACCCUUAAAACGCGCUUACAAAGCCAGCAUGGAUUUUUCCAAUCUGGUGGUUUUAAGCAACUGUACAAAGGCAUAGGACCUGUAGUGUUAGGUUCUGCUCCAUCAGCUGCCAUAUUUUUUAUUACUUAUGAGGGAAUAAAACAGUAUUCACAACCAUAUAUACUGAAUCAGUAUCAUUCUAUCAUACACAUGGUUGCAGCAUGUUCCUCUGAAGUGACAGCAUGUUUGGUUCGGGUACCAGUGGAAGUAAUUAAGCAGAGGAAACAAGCUCUCUUAUCGGACACGCAUCGAUUAAGAUUAAAAACAUUGUAUCGCGGUUACGGAAGUACGGUCCUACGGGAUUUACCGUUCGGUGUUAUUCAAAUGCCAUUGUGGGAGUACUUCAAACUUUGUUGGAUCCGACACGUGCAACGGGAAUGCACACCCUUAGAAGGUGCCACUUGCGGGUCUGCGUCAGUUGCCAUAUCAGCUGCCAUAACAACGCCGUUAGACGUUGCAAAGACCAGAAUUAUGUUGUCAAGUACGUCGGCCGAGAAAGAGGAAGUUAAAAUAUCGGUAAUGUUGAAAGAGAUUUAUAAAGACAAUGGCGUUAGGGGAUUGUUCGCCGGUUUUCUUCCAAGAGUAAUCGGCUUUACUAUUGGUGGAUUCAUAUUCUUUGGUGUUUAUGAGCAAGUCAGAGAAUUUUGUAUAUGCAAUUUUUCACAAUAAUCACUGAUAAAUCGAUAAAUUGUAAAAUUAUACUAAACUAGCAUAAAUUUUAUGAACACAUUCUGGUAUACUUGAGCCUUUCUAUUCGACAAUAUUCGCUGGCAUCAAUUCCGAAAGCUUUAAGAAAUUCUGAAAAAUAUACGACGGUUUUAUAUGUUCCUAUAUGACAACGUAAGUGCAAUCUAUUCUGAGCCGGAGCACGUAAAAUUUUGAAAAAGAUACAUUCAA